CCUACGGGAGGCAGCAGUGAGGAAUAUUGGUCAAUGGACGAGAGUCUGAACCAGCCAAGUAGCGUGAAGGAUGACUGCCCUAUGGGUUGUAAACUUCUUUUAUAAAGGAAUAAAACGAGGCACGUGUGCCUUUUUGCAUGUACUUUAUGAAUAAGGAUCGGCUAACUCCGUGCCAGCAGCCGCGGUAAUACGGAGGAUCCGAGCGUUAUCCGGAUUUAUUGGGUUUAAAGGGAGCGUAGAUGGGUUGUUAAGUCAGUUGUGAAAGUUUGCGGCUCAACCGUAAAAUUGCAAUUGAUACUGGCAGUCUUGAGUACAGUUGAGGUAGGCGGAAUGUAUGGUGUAGCGGUGAAAUGCUUAGAGAUCAUACAGAACACCGAUUGCGAAGGCAGCUUACCAAUCUAUAUCUGACAUUGAUGCUCGAAAGUGUGGGUAUCAAACAGGAUGAGAUACCCGGGUAGUC
rnacentral:rRNA from 1 species